CAGCCCGAUUAGAGUGGGGAAAAAAUGAUGCCACAAAAAGGGGGGAAAAAAACCGCAUUGGACUGACUAUCCUCACGUUUUCACUUUUCAGCUUCCCUGGCCGUCGCAGGCUGGGUCUUCCCUACCUCGUUGUGGAUUCCUCAUCUUCUUCUGCUUCCUUGGCGCGAUGAGGAGUUCUCUUCUCUCCGUUUCUACCCCAAGCUCCUCCAAUAGUCCUCCAAUAUUCCACUGAUGGCGUUCUUCGUCUUGGUGUUCUCUCUCACUCCCAUCGUCUUCACUCAUCCUCCUCUGUUCCCAAUUCCUAUUCCUUGAAACUCGGACUUACCAAAUCCGAUGGCAUUCCGGCUGUCUUUGCUGCCUCCUCUACUACUGGUGCAGUCGAUCUCACAUCUCUCGUCUCAGCGUGGCCGUCUAAAGCCAGGGACAUUGUCUACUUGACUCGCCAUUAUAGUCGGUGCUAUUGGGAGCUUUCUAAAGCUCGCCUGAGGCAAUUUUUCAAGACAUUUGUUUCUAUAGUCGGGAGCAAUUUUUUGGUGUCUCUGGAAACAUUUACAGAAGAAAGAUUGCCAUAAUUGUCUCUUUCAUAUUUUUCUUUUCAACAGUGUGCGGCUAUACAUUGUCUAAGCCUGCACUAUGGUGUCUAUGUUUGGGUUUAUCUAUUACUAGGUUGAAUCUGUAGGUUUGUCUCAUGGUUGCAUGUUUCUUCAACCUAUGGCUAGUAUGACUGAUGAAGUAACUUGCUACUGUCCUCGGAGCAGGUAAGCUUAAACUCAAGUUAACGAGUUUAAGCCUAUCAUGUCUUGGCCAGUCUUUUCUGAUUAAAGCUACUGAGGGUUGGAGGAAAGAUAAUUACUCCCUCCCUUAGGCAUUUUUUGAGGGGUUGAAUGUUAAAAAAUGCAAGGCAUUUUUAGUC